rnacentral:rRNA from 1 species
CCUACGGGUGGCAGCAGUGGGGAAUAUUGCACAAUGGGGGAAACUCUGAUGCAGCAACGCCGCGUGCGUGAAGACGUAUUUCGGUAUGUAAAGCUCUAUCAGCAGGGAGGAAGAUGACGGUACGUGUUUCAGAAGCCCCGGCUAACUACGUGCCAGCAGCCGCGGUAAUACGUAGGGGGCAGGCGUUAUCCGGAUUUACUGGGUGUAAAGGGAGCGCAGACGGCAGUGCAAGUCUGGAGUGAAAGCCCGGGGCUCAACCCCGGAACUGCAGUGGAAACUGGGCGGCUUGAGUACUGGCGGGGCAGGCGGAAUUCCUAGUGUAGCGGUGAAAUGCGUAGAUAUUAGGAGGAACACCAGUGGCGAAGGCGGCCUGCUGGACAGUAACUGACGUUGAGGCUCGAAAGCGUGGGGAGCGAACAGGAUUAGAUACCCGGGUAGUC